rnacentral:rRNA from 1 species
GUUAUAUGGUCAAGUGAAGAAGCGCAUACGGUGGAUGCCUUGGCAGUCAGAGGCGAUGAAAGACGUGGUAGCCUGCGAAAAGCUUCGGGGAGUCGGCAAACAGACUGUGAUCCGGAGAUGUCUGAAUGGGGGAACCCAGCCAUCACAAGAUGGUUAUCUUACGCUGAAUACAUAGGCGUAAGAGGCGAACCAGGGGAACUGAAACAUCUAAGUACCCUGAGGAAAAGAAAUCAACCGAGAUUCCCUUAGUAGUGGCGAGCGAACGGGGAGCAGCCCUUAAGUUGUAUUGAGAUUAGCGGAACGCUCUGGAAAGUGCGGCCAUAGUGGGUGAUAGCCCUGUACGCGAAAAUCCCUUUGCAAUGAAAUCGAGUAGGACGGGGCACGAGAAACCUUGUCUGAAUAUGGGGGGACCAUCCUCCAAGGCUAAAUACUACUGACUGACCGAUAGUGAACCAGUACCGUGAGGGAAAGGCGAAAAGAACCGCGGAGAGCGGAGUGAAAUAGAUCCUGAAACCGUAUGCGUACAAGCAGUGGGAGCCCACGUUGUUGGGUGACUGCGUACCUUUUGUAUAAUGGGUCAGCGACUUAUUUUCAGUGGCGAGCUUAACCGAAUAGGGGAGGCGUAGCGAAAGCGAGUCUUAAUAGGGCGUCUAGUCGCUGGGAAUAGACCCGAAACCGGGCGAUCUAUCCAUGGGCAGGUUGAAGGUUGGGUAACACUAACUGGAGGACCGAACCGACUACCGUUGAAAAGUUAGCGGAUGACCUGUGGAUCGGAGUGAAAGGCUAAUCAAGCUCGGAGAUAGCUGGUUCUCCUCGAAAGCUAUUUAGGUAGCGCCUCAUGUAUCACUGUAGGGGGUAGAGCACUGUUUCGGCUAGGGGGUCAUCCCGACUUACCAAACCGAUGCAAACUCCGAAUACCUACAAGUGCCGAGCAUGGGAGACACACGGCGGGUGCUAACGUCCGUCGUGAAAAGGGAAACAACCCAGACCGUCAGCUAAGGUCCCAAAGUCAUGGUUAAGUGGGAAACGAUGUGGGAAGGCUUAGACAGCUAGGAGGUUGGCUUAGAAGCAGCCACCCUUUAAAGAAAGCGUAAUAGCUCACUAGUCGAGUCGGCCUGCGCGGAAGAUGUAACGGGGCUCAAACCAUGCACCGAAGCUACGGGUAUCACCUUUGGUGAUGCGGUAGAGGAGCGUUCUGUAAGCCUGUGAAGGUGAGUUGAGAAGCUUGCUGGAGGUAUCAGAAGUGCGAAUGCUGACAUGAGUAACGACAAUGGGUGUGAAAAACACCCACGCCGAAAGACCAAGGUUUCCUGCGCAACGUUAAUCGACGCAGGGUUAGUCGGUCCCUAAGGCGAGGCUGAAAAGCGUAGUCGAUGGAAAACAGGUUAAUAUUCCUGUACUUCUGGUUAUUGCGAUGGAGGGACGGAGAAGGCUAGGCCAGCCUGGCGUUGGUAGUCCAGGUUUAAGGUGGUAGGCUGAGAUCUUAGGUAAAUCCGGGAUCUCAAGGCCGAGAGCUGAUGACGAGUGUUCUUUUAGAACACGAAGUGGUUGAUGCCAUGCUUCCAAGAAAAGCUUCUAAGCUUCAGGUAACCAGGAACCGUACCCCAAACCGACACAGGUGGUUGGGUAGAGAAUACCAAGGCGCUUGAGAGAACUCGGGUGAAGGAACUAGGCAAAAUGGCACCGUAACUUCGGGAGAAGGUGCGCCGGUGAGGGUGAAGCAUUUACUGCGUAAGCUCAUGCCGGUCGAAGAUACCAGGCCGCUGCGACUGUUUAUUAAAAACACAGCACUCUGCAAACACGAAAGUGGACGUAUAGGGUGUGACGCCUGCCCGGUGCCGGAAGGUUAAUUGAUGGGGUUAGCGCAAGCGAAGCUCUUGAUCGAAGCCCCGGUAAACGGCGGCCGUAACUAUAACGGUCCUAAGGUAGCGAAAUUCCUUGUCGGGUAAGUUCCGACCUGCACGAAUGGCGUAACGAUGGCGGCGCUGUCUCCACCCGAGACUCAGUGAAAUUGAAAUCGCUGUGAAGAUGCAGUGUAUCCGCGGCUAGACGGAAAGACCCCGUGAACCUUUACUAUAGCUUUGCACUGGACUUUGAAUUUGCUUGUGUAGGAUAGGUGGGAGGCUUUGAAGCGUGGACGCCAGUCUGCGUGGAGCCAACCUUGAAAUACCACCCUGGCAACUUUGAGGUUCUAACUCAGGUCCGUUAUCCGGAUCGAGGACAGUGUAUGGUGGGUAGUUUGACUGGGGCGGUCUCCUCCUAAAGAGUAACGGAGGAGUACGAAGGUGCGCUCAGACCGGUCGGAAAUCGGUCGUAGAGUAUAAAGGCAAAAGCGCGCUUGACUGCGAGACAGACACGUCGAGCAGGUACGAAAGUAGGUCUUAGUGAUCCGGUGGUUCUGUAUGGAAGGGCCAUCGCUCAACGGAUAAAAGGUACUCCGGGGAUAACAGGCUGAUACCGCCCAAGAGUUCAUAUCGACGGCGGUGUUUGGCACCUCGAUGUCGGCUCAUCACAUCCUGGGGCUGAAGCCGGUCCCAAGGGUAUGGCUGUUCGCCAUUUAAAGUGGUACGCGAGCUGGGUUUAGAACGUCGUGAGACAGUUCGGUCCCUAUCUGCCGUGGACGUUUGAGAUUUGAGAGGGGCUGCUCCUAGUACGAGAGGACCGGAGUGGACGAACCUCUGGUGUUCCGGUUGUCACGCCAGUGGCAUUGCCGGGUAGCUAUGUUCGGAAAAGAUAACCGCUGAAAGCAUCUAAGCGGGAAACUUGCCUCAAGAUGAGAUCUCACUGGAACCUUGAGUUCCCUGAAGGGCCGUCGAAGACUACGACGUUGAUAGGUUGGGUGUGUAAGCGCUGUGAGGCGUUGAGCUAACCAAUACUAAUUGCCCGUGAGGCUUGACCAUAUAACACCCAAGCAAUU